GACGAACGCUGGCGGCGUGCUUAACACAUGCAAGUCGAACGGAAAGGCUUCUUUCGGGGGGUACUCGAGUGGCGAACGGGUGAGUAACACGUGAGUAACCUGCCCUUGACUUUGGGAUAACUUCAGGAAACUGGGGCUAAUACCGGAUAGGAGCUCCUGCUGCAUGGUGGGGGUUGGAAAGUUUCGGCGGUUGGGGAUGGACUCGCGGCUUAUCAGCUUGUUGGUGGGGUAGUGGCUUACCAAGGCUUUGACGGGUAGCCGGCCUGAGAGGGUGACCGGCCACAUUGGGACUGAGAUACGGCCCAGACUCCUACGGGAGGCAGCAGUGGGGAAUAUUGCACAAUGGGUGGAAGCCUGAUGCAGCAACGCCGUGUGCGGGAUGACGGCCUUCGGGUUGGAAACCGCUUUCGCUCAUGACGAAGCUUUGUGUGACGGUAGUGGGUAAAGAAGCACCGGCUAACUACGUG
rnacentral:rRNA from 1 species